rnacentral:rRNA from 1 species
CAGCCGCCGCGGGAAUACGUAGGGUGCAAGCGUUAAUCGGAAUUACUGGGCGUAAAGCGUGCGCAGGCGGUUCGCUAAGACAGAUGUGAAAUCCCCGGGCUUAACCUGGGAACUGCAUUUGUGACUGGCGGGCUAGAGUAUGGCAGAGGGGGGUAGAAUUCCACGUGUAGCAGUGAAAUGCGUAGAGAUGUGGAGGAAUACCGAUGGCGAAGGCAGCCCCCUGGGCCAAUACCGACGCUCAUGCACGAAAGCGUGGGGAGCAAACAGGAUUAGAUACCCCUGUAGUCCCUGUCUCUUAUAC